ensembl:lncRNA
GGGAUGUCUAAGAGGGGACGUGGGGAUGCCUAAGAGGGGACGUGGGGAGGACGUGGGGAUGGCUAAGAGAGGACGUGGGGAUGGCUAAGAGGGGACGUGGGGAGGACGUGGGGAUGGCUAAGAGGGGACGUGGGGAUGGCUAAGAGGGGACGUGGGGAGGACGUGGGGAUGUCUAAGAGGGGACGUGGGGAUGGCUAAGAGGGGACGUGGGGAUGGCUAAGAGGGGACGUGGGGAUGGCUAAGAGGGGACGUGGGGAUGUCUAAGAGUGGGACGUGGGGAGGACGUGGGGAUGUCUAAGAGGGGACGUGGGGAGGACGUGGGGAUGUCUAAGAGGGGACGUGGGGAGGACGUGGGGAUGUCUAAGAGGGGACGUGGGGGAGGACGUGGGGAUGUCUAAGAGGGGACGUGGGGAGGACGUGGGGAUGUCUAAGAGGGGACGUGGGGGGGACGACGUGGGGAUGUGGGGAGGACGUGGGGAUGUCUAAGAGGGGACGUGGGGAUGUCUAAGAGGGGACGUGGGGAUGUCUAAGAGGGGACGUGGGGAGGACGUGGGGAUGUCUAAGAGGGACGUGGGGAUGUCUAAGAGGGGAGGAGGGGAUGUCUAAGAGGGGACGUGGGGAGGAUGUGGGGAUGGCUAAGAGGGGACGUGGGGAGGACGUGGGGAUGGCUAAGAGGGGACGUGGGGAUGUCUAAGAGGGGACGUGGGG